rnacentral:snRNA from 8 species
AUACUUACCUGGCAAGGGAGACACCGUGAUCAAGAAGGCGGUUCACCCAGGGCGAGGCUCAGCCAUUGCACUCCGGCUGUGCUGACCCCUGCGAAUUUUCCAAAUGUGGGAAAUCUCGAUUGCAUAAUUU